rnacentral:rRNA from 1 species
CCUACGGGUGGCAGCAGUGAGGAAUAUUGGUCAAUGGGCUUACGCCUGAACCAGCCAAGUCGCGUGAGGGAAGACUGCCCUAUGGGUUGUAAACCUCUUUUGUCAGGGAGCAACGCCGGCUACGUGUAGCCGGACUGAGAGUACCUGAAGAAAAAGCAUCGGCUAACUCCGUGCCAGCAGCCUCGGUAAUACGGAGAAUGCGACCGUUAUCCGGAUUUCUUGGGUUUAAAGGGUGCGUGGGCGGAAUGCCAAGUCAGCGGUAAAAUCGCGGGGCUAAACCUCGCUCCGCAGUUGAAACUGGCGUUCUUGAGUGGGCGAGAGGUAUGCGGAAUGCGUGGUGUAGCGGUGAAAUGCGUAGAUAUUAGGAGGAACACCAGUGGCGAAGGCGGCUUACUGGACUGUAACUGACGUUGAGGCUCGAAAGCGUGGGGAGCAAACAGGAUUAGAUACCCUUGUAGUC